rnacentral:snoRNA from 11 species
ACUUUAAUGAUGAAAGCUUUGAUAGGGACAUCUGAUGUCUAUGAUUGAUUUAUCACUUUUUAUAUAGAACUGAACUU